rnacentral:rRNA from 1 species
UACGAAGGGGGCUAGCGUUGUUCGGAAUUACUGGGCGUAAAGCGCGCGCAGGCGGCUAUCCAAGUCAGUGGUGAAAGCCCGGAGCUCAACUCCGGAACUGCCAUUGAAACUGUUUAGCUUGAGGACGAGAGAGGUGAGUGGAAUUCCCAGUGUAGAGGUGAAAUUCGUAGAUAUUCGCAAGAACACCAGUGGCGAAGGCGGCUCACUGGUCCGGUACUGACGCUGAGGUGCGAAAGCGUGGGGAGCAAACAGG